rnacentral:misc_RNA from 1 species
GAUAUCCGGUUGUCGUAAUCUCGCAAAUUUUUACAAGUGUUGUGAUUGUUUUCUAACUUUGACCAUAUAUAUUGGCACGGUGAUGGCAUUAUAUCUACUCACAACUCCAAGAACUGAUUAAUGGAUAUGUUCCCCCGUAACUUACUCGUUACUGCGGAAACGAGCGACCGCCACAGUGCAUUUUACAUUGUUUAUUGUGACCUCCCACCAUGGCGAGCAUCUUACAUGUACGUAAACAAUGCUGUUUUACAAAGUGUGAAACGGUAACGUCAUUUCAAUAUUAGCAUUGACAUUUUCUCUAUACACUUUCAUUGAACAAGAAUUCCGUCCCAUUCAUUAUGUCUAGAACCUAGUUGGAGAUAAAAACAAAAAAAAGAGUACGCCAUUCCGAGGAUUCAGAGACGACAACGAAAACGUACCCGAAUCAAGUCGACUCACGAGUACAAAAAUUUUUAAAACAUUUUAGAAUUAAUGCUAGGCAGUAUUGUGAACUAAAAACCUAUAAUUUCCUGCAAUAUCAUUGUCAAAAAUUCUAUGUCAGGCAAACUAUCAGGCUUCAUUAUGGCUUCAAAACAUCAAGGGCUCACUUGAUAGACUUUAAUUCGCUUUUACCCAGAUGAGCGUCCUGAAGAUUUCAUUCAUAGACUUUCAGCCUUUGUUAAAGAUUAUCUUCAUUGGAAAGAUAUGGGUAUUGCCCAUGAUUGUGAAACAACAAAGGGGGAUGAAAAGUUCAACAAGGCCACAACACAGUGUCCUAUCUCUAAUAAAGUUGUGGAAUAUGUUCAUAUACAUGUACAACUGACAACUGAUAAUUAUGGAAUUGAAGUGCUAUGUUGGCUUUCAAGGGACAAUGAGUUUUAAAAGAUUUGAAAAGCUCAGUUGAUAUUUUCAUCUAAAUGACAACCGAACUCAAGGACUCAGAGGGACACUUAAGAUAGAGAUUACAUAAGAUAAGACCAAUCCUUGAUAGAAGGGCAAUAAGAGGUCAGGUGAAUUCACCUAAGCAUCAAAGUAUUGGUGAAGGCAUGAUCAAAUUCAAAAAAAGAUCUUUUGCAAGACAAUAUAUGACAAAUAAACCUGUCAGGAGAGGUCUCAAGAAUGGAAGUGACCCAGCAGCUGAUGAGAGACAACAGAGGAUGAAAGCGUGGUCAUGAUAUACAGAAGUUUUGAAUACACCUCAUAUUUUUUGCAAAUUGAAACAUUCAAGAUCAACCUGCAAUUUGUGAUUGCAGAAAUUGUGAUAGACAGCUGUGCAGCAAACAAUAUUUCAGUGCAUUUCAUUUACUAGAUAUCAACUUUUAAGAUUUAUUAUUAUAUUUGCCAUGAAAGAACAUUUAUCAGUACAUGAGCUUUACAUCUAUAUUCCUGAUUGUAAAUGUAAUAUGUACAAUAUGUACAUAUUGUAAGAUACAGGUGUAACUUUUGUGUACAUUAACACACUAGCAUUGACUUAGUUGGUCUCUACCUUGGCUGAAGAACUCUGUGUAAUAAGUUUUGUGUCUUCCUCAUUGCUACAAAUGUAUGUUAAUACAAGUAUCUAUGCAGUCAAAUGAUGUUUAUUAACAUAAGAGGUUACCAUGCAGGGGGCAUGUCUUGUCUAUUGCAGACACAAUUUUUAUGCAUAUUAAGGUCAUCUUAAACUUUAUUUUUGAAGUUGUGAUUUUAAAAUGAAGUAUUUAAACUUUGUGCUUCAUUCUUAAUUUUACUUCAAGGUCAUUCUGAUUUUGAAACUGACCACAUUUUACUCGAAAUUGUUCCUCAGGUGUUUUUAUUUUUUUUUCAAUUCUAUACAUAUGAUAAUGGAAAUAUUACAACUUUUUUAUAUAUUAAAUAUU